rnacentral:rRNA from 1 species
GGACUACUGGGGUAUCUAAUCCCGUUCGCUCCCCUAGCUUUCGCACCCGAGCGUCAGUGACUCCCCAGGAUGGUGCCUUCGCCUUUGGUGUUCUUCCGGAUCUCUACGCAUUUCACCACUCCACCCGGAAUUCCCCAUCCCUCUGAAGCCCUCAAGUCCAACAGUUUCCACAGGCCUGACACAGUUAAGCUGUGCCCUGUCCCUGCAGACUGAUUGGACCGCCUGCGUGCGCUUUACGCCCAGUAACUCCGGACAACGCUCGCCUCCUACGUAUUACCGCGGCUGCUGGCAC